CUGUGGAGGAUAGUCAGUCAGCGUGUGGGAUGCCUGUUGUGCAGAAGCCUCCUAGACGCUCUCCAGGGUUAUGCAUUUGACAUACGCAAGUAAAAGACCGCCAGGCUCUUUUGCCAUUUCCUGUUUCCUCGUGGGAAGAUGAUGAGUCAAUCCUACAGCACGGAUCCAAGAACUUUGACAUGGACGUCCUCUUCAUGGCGGAGACAUUUUUAUUUAAUUUUGCACGAGGGGAGUUCAACGAAACCAUAACGUGAGACCGGCAACAGAGCCAUCUCGUACCAAACAAACAGCAGGGCAUGACAAUCAUUUAAUGGUACACGCACAAGUCGGCCUGUGGCUUCUGUUGAGCAACGCACAAUUCACGUGUUCAAUAGGAAGUAGGGCAAUUACACACGCAGCCAAAAGGAAUAAGAAGUGUGCCAGGAUUUGCCAGUCAGAUUUACAGCAAUGCACACAUGACCUCCCCUGACCUGCCCACGGAUGUGCUCACGCUUCAGUAGAGGCUGGUGGGAGUUUAGAGGGAAUUAGCAGCCCCCAAGCCGAGAAGAACCUGAGGAAAGUCCAUGGUUCAUUGCUUCAACCUUUACCACUGGAGAGAAAAAGACAGCACGAAAGAAACAGAUUCACAGCGAGAUCAACUUUUUAUCUAAGUCAUUUUUUAGUUUUUGUUUUCUGUUUUGCAAAUAAAAUUUGAC
ensembl:lncRNA